AGUCGAGGGGCAGCGGGUAGAUGAGCUUGCUCAUUUAUGCCGGCGACCGGCGCACGGGUGAGUAACACGUAUGCAACCUGCCCGUCUCAGGGGGAUAAUCGUCGGAAACGGCGUCUAAUACCCCGUAUGAAGCCGGACGGCAUCGUCUGGUUUUGAAAGAAUAUCGGAGACGGAUGGGCAUGCGGCGCAUUAGCUAGUUGGCGGGGUAACGGCCCACCAAGGCGACGAUGCGUAGGGGUUCUGAGAGGAAGGUCCCCCACACUGGUACUGAGACACGGACCAGACUCCUACGGGAGGCAGCAGUGAGGAAUAUUGGUCAAUGGGCGAGAGCCUGAACCAGCCAAGUCGCGUGAGGGAGUACUGCCCUAUGGGUUGUAAACCUCUUUUGUCGGGGAGCAAAAGCCGGACGUGUCCGGCUGUGAGAGUACCCGAAGAAAAAGCAUCGGCUAACUCCGUGCCAGCAGCCGCGGUAAUACGGAGGAUGCGAGCGUUAUCCGGAUUUAUUGGGUUUAAAGGGUGCGCAGGCGGAUUUUUAAGUCAGCGGUCAAAUCGUGGGGCUCAACCCCAUCCAGCCGUUGAAACUGGGGAUCUAGAGUGUGCGAGAGGUAUGCGGAAUGCGUGGUGUAGCGGUGAAAUGCAUAGAUAUCACGCAGAACCCCGAUUGCGAAGGCAGCAUACCGGUGCACAACUGACGCUCAGGCACGAAAGCGUGGGUAUCGAACAGGAUUAGAUACCCUGGUAGUCCACGCAGUAAACGAUGAAUGCUACCUGUUUGGCCAGAUUGAAGGCUGAGCGGGACAGCGAAAGCGUUAAGCA
rnacentral:rRNA from 1 species